AUUGCUUCUCAGCCUUUUGGCUAAGAUCAAAUGUAGUAUCUGUUCUUAUCAGUUUAAUAUCUGAUACAUCCUCUAUCCAAGGACAAUAUAUUAAAUGGAUUUCUGGAGCAGGAAGAUAGAGUAGGAGCUUGUUCUGUCCAUUUCAUGUGUCGACUUGGUAUUGAGGUAUCUCCAGGAAUGGUGUACUCUGU
ensembl:snRNA U2 U2 spliceosomal RNA